ensembl:lncRNA
AUCAAUUCUUCAGCACUCAGCUUUCUUUAUAGUCCAACUACCACAUCCAUACAUGACACUGGAAAAACCAUAGCUUUGACUGGAUGGACCUUGGUUGAAGAUGGAAUCUACUGAGGAAGGAAAGCCUAGGUCUUCAGCACCACAUGUGCCAGCCCAGAAGCAGCAGUGUGAAAACCUCUAUAACAUCUGGAGUCCCCUAAAAAUUAAGGAGACUUUGAUUUGGACAUUCUCAGUAGGAAUGGUUAAAGGCUAAUGGGACCAUAGAGAGAUGUCAGAUGCUUGAUAGAUCCUGUAGUUCAACUUGAUUCCUAGAGAGAAGCUGUUCAUAUGAUAUCAGAACUUUCAGUUCUAUCUUUUGCAGAAAUGAAAUUUCAGGAAACUAGACUGGAGUCUCACUUCUUUCCCAGACCGGAACUCUUGGGAGCUGUAAUCCUGGAUAUACAGUAAAUAAUAAUAGCGUUUUUGUUUUAUGUAUGAAGGUGGAUGAUUCUUCAAAUUAAAGGUGGACACUGACUUUUCUCACCAGAAAUGGUUUAUAAGAAAUCAACUUGCAAAAAUUUAGAGGCAAUAAAAGAAAGAGUAAAAUAUUUUCUUCUAUCAUUGUUUGAUUCUUUGCUAGAUUGUAAGCUCCAUGAAAGCAGGAUAACUUGCUUAUCUGCAAUGCCUGACCCAGAAUAGAUACUCAAGAAAUACUUGAAGUUAAUUAAAAUUUCCAUAGAAUUUUUUUUUUAAUCUCUGGAAAUGAUAACCAUUUUAAUGGCAUUUCAACAAGAUUACAUGGAAUACUUGGGACUUAAAUUUUGACUUGAUAAACUAUGUGGAUAGCAAUGAGUCUUAAUAAUAACUUCUGUUAUAAUAUGAAACCUAUUCUUUAGAAACCUAUAAUAUGAAACCUAUUCUUCUGUUAAAGCAAAUAUAAAUAUCAAAUUAGAUUUAGAGUAGAUGAUGCUGACUACCUGAGAUUCAAACAUAAUAGGAAGAUUAUUAUUUCUGAAGCUCUUAGAGAAAUGUGGUACAUAAUAUAGCCAGUAAGUACUUAUAAUAUCUAAACAAGAUCAAUAUCAAACUUCAUGGUAAAAUACCAGUUAAAUGGUAUAUGAUAAUGAAUGCACAAAUUGUGCUGUCAGAGUUUAUCCAGACUUUUUAUGUUAGGAAGAAUGGAUUGCUACUGCUACUGCUAAGUCACUUCAGUCGUGUCCGACUCUGUGCAACCCCAUAGACGGCAGCCCACCAGGCUGCCCCGUCCCUGGGAUUCUCCAGGCAAGAACACUGGAGUGGGUUGCCAUUUCCUUCUCUAAUGCAUGAAAGUGAAAGGUGAAAGAGAAGUCGCUCAGUCGUGUCCGACUCAGCGAUCCCAUGGACUGCAGCCCACCUGGCUCCUCCAUCCAUGGGAUUUUCCAGGCAAGAGUACUGGAGUGGGGUGCCAUUGCCUUCUCCAAAGAAUGGAUUAAAGAUCUGUAAAUUGAAAGCAAAACUUCAAGCCUAUAUAAAAGCAAAGAAUAUGGCACUGUGACAUUGGAUUAGCCAUAAGACAAAAGAAAAGACUGAUAAAUUUGUAUACACUAAAAUUCAAACUUAAGUUUGCAUGCCAUGUAACUGACAAAGGCUCCAUUUAAAUCAAGAAAAUGAUCAAAGGAUAUGAAUGAACAAUUCAUAGAUGAGGAUCCCUGAGUAGUCACAUGAAAAGAUGCUUAAUCUAACUACUAAUAAAAUAACUUUACAUUAAAACAACACAGAUUCCAUUUCACUGCCAUCAGAUGGGCAAAAAUUGAAACAGAACAAAUGAACUCUGACACUUAAACAUGUUGUCAAGGUUGGAGUUGCUGGUAGCAGUGAAAUUAAUUUAUUACUUUGGAGAAGGUUUGGCAACAUCAUUUUUUUUGAAGAUGAUUAUACCCAAUCUUUGGGUAUUCUUAAGGAGUUCUUGACGUGUGUACUCAAAGAAAUAGGCACAGAAAGUUUAUUGCAGUAAAAUAUUUUUAGUUGUAAAAGCCUGGAACCAAUGUCCAUUAGAAGAAUAAGUAAAUAAAUUGUGGUUUGUAGAAUUCGGCUGUUAAAAUGAAUUAAUAUAAGGUAUGUGUAUUAACUUUACACUUCAAAAAAAAAGACUUAAAAAUGGCCAACUGAUAUGUAUUGUGUGAGAUUUAGUAGUUUGAGAACAUGAAAACAAAGUUUGAUGUAUGUACAUAUUAAAAACCUGUAUGAGAAUGAUAACCCCCCAAAUCUGGCUUGUUUACCUCUGGAGAGGUAAAAGGAAAAUGGAUUGAAUAGCUGUUAACUUGUUACCUCAUUAAAAAACAUCAAACUUGAGAAGAGUUUGGGUUUAUUAGAUUGAAUAAUGGUCAUUCUCCACAUAUUUUUUAUAUGCUUAAUAUUUAAUAAUAAAAGCCCAUCUAUUUUUAGUACUUUAUUUAUUCAUUUAACAUCAAAAACAUUUUGUAUUGGGGUAUAGCCGAUUACCAAUGUGUGGUAGUUUCAGGUGAACAGUGAAGGGACUCAGCCAUAAAUAUACAUGUAUCCCCCCAAAUGCCUCCCACACAGACUGGCACAUAACAUCGAACAGAGUUCCAUGUGCUAUACGAUAGGUCUUUGUUGGUUAUCCAUUUAAACUGUAUCACUGUGUACAUGACCUUCCUAAAGUCCAUAACUAUCCCUUCCUCCCAGGAACCAUAAGUUUGAAAAACCAAUAUUUUAAAAUGCUCUUUUUGGUGGUCAGGUCUCUGUAUCCCAGCCUUAACUGAUUUCAGUGGUUUCAUCCUCAGGAGCACCUUAGAAAUGAGCCACAGAAGGGUUUUUCUGUGCCAUGAGAGAACAGGACACAUGCCACCAAAAAACAGGUUAAGUCUAUUUCCUGGUAUUCCAGACUAGUGGGAUAUUAUAUUAAGAGUUUGUAGCUCCCCCCACUUUUUCCUAUCUGGCAAAACAUCCCCGUCGUUCCCCCCCACCAAAUGUGUGUAUAUGUGUGUAGGUAUAUCUAUCUGUGUACAUACACACACACACACACACACACACACACACACACACACACGAUUCAUAUAGGCUUUUAGCCAAAUAGGUUGGAAAUUGGAAACUGACUUUAAAAAUGGUGUGGGUUACACCAAGCUUUGGGGAAACAAUGAAAUUGAAGAAGCAGGAAGGGAUCAUAUUGUAGCACAAAGGUAACUUGGCUAGACUCAAAGUUAGGUCAAAUGUGAAUGCUUUGUGUUUUAUAACUUGACAUGAGAGUGUACCUUUUUACUGUACUUCAAUAUUUCUACAUUUGGCAUAGUUAAAACCAGAAAAUGCACAAAAGGCUCAGAUAACCAAAACAUGUUGGGGAUUACAUGGUUUACAUAUGGAAACCAUGAUUUUCUUCAAACCCGUUUUGUAACUCUAGAUUGAAUUUCUAUUUUGAACUCUCAGAAGACAUUUUAGGAAAAGUAUACAAAGGCCAAGAUGACCUUGAUUACUGUGAACCAGUUACAGAUAGACAAAAAACUAGAGAAAGCUGUUUAAUCAGAGUAGGUUUUUGUCUGAAGGAGAAAGGUUUAAUAUAUAGAUUCACAACCUAUAAGGGGGUUUGCAGGGCUUAGUGUCCCCGUUGUGUUGCUGAUUUAUUGGAUUGUUUCUGUUACUAAUUCAUGCUAGUGUCACAUCUUCAGGAAAGGUGGCUACAAAAGUCAGCAUUAGGCUUAUAUUCUUAGGACCCCUGGAGCUCUCAGCUUAAUUUCUAAUAUGAAUUCUAAUAGAUUCAUAGAUUGAGCAGAAAGUCAUACAGUAAGUACAGAAGAGAAAAUGUAAUAGGUAAAAGUAUUAGGAUAAAAUGGGUGCAAACAUUUAAACAAUUAUUAAUCCAAGCAGGCCCAGGAAUGUACACACGUGGAUGAUCUCAGAAAAGCUGUGAAACCUAACCCUAUUGCUUAAGAGCUG